GUCUAUGGCCAUAGCACCGCACCGGAUCUCGUCUGAUCUCAGAAGCUAAGCAGGAUCAGGCCUGGUUAGUACUUGGAUGGGAGAUAAUAGAGAAAUUUAAAGUAUUCUUAAAAG
rnacentral:rRNA from 1 species